rnacentral:rRNA from 1 species
UCGAUUAGAGUUUGAUUAUGGCUCAGAGCGAACGCUGGCGGCAGGCUUAACACAUGCAAGUCGAGCGGGCGUAGCAAUACGUCAGCGGCAGACGGGUGAGUAACGCGUGGGAACAUACCUUUUGGUUCGGAACAACACAGGGAAACUUGUGCUAAUACCGGAUAAGCCCUUACGGGGAAAGAUUUAUCGCCGAAAGAUUGGCCCGCGUCUGAUUAGCUAGUUGGUGAGGUAAUGGCUCACCAAGGCGACGAUCAGUAGCUGGUCUGAGAGGAUGAUCAGCCACAUUGGGACUGAGACACGGCCCAAACUCCUACGGGAGGCAGCAGUGGGGAAUAUUGGACAAUGGGCGCAAGCCUGAUCCAGCCAUGCCGCGUGGGUGAUGAAGGCCCUAGGGUUGUAAAGCCCUUUCGGCGGGGAAGAUAAUGACGGUACCCGCAGAAGAAGCCCCGGCUAACUUCGUGCCAGCAGCCGCGGUAAUACGAAGGGGGCUAGCGUUGCUCGGAAUCACUGGGCGUAAAGCGCACGUAGGCGGAUUGCUAAGUCAGGGGUGAAAUCCUGGAGCUCAACUCCAGAACUGCCCUUGAUACUGGCGACCUCGAGUCCGGGAGAGGUGAGUGGAACUGCGAGUGUAGAGGUGAAAUUCGUAGAUAUUCGCAAGAACACCAGUGGCGAAGGCGGCUCACUGGCCCGGUACUGACGCUGAGGUGCGAAAGCGUGGGGAGCAAACAGGAUUAGAUACCCUGGUAGUCCACGCCGUAAACGAUGGAUGCUAGCCGUUGGA